CCGUGAGCCCUCACCGUGGACCCGUCAUUUUCCACUCGGGAGUGGGCGACUCACAAUGGCUGAAAUAAUCACAAUGUACAAUAUAGCGAUGUCUGGUUAUGCGGUUGCUGAAGGCUUGACAAUCCGAAGAUGAGUCGUCGAGCCUCGGUGACAGACGUCCGCGGAGCUCCCCUUCGUCACACGAUGCCCGCCGACGUCGCUUUACUGUUGUCUACUCAGUAGACUACUCGAUUCCGGGCUCCGCGACCUUCCAUUCAUGGGGCUCGUCAUCGUCAGCAAGAGCCUGGCCGAGAAAAACAGUUGCUUGGUUCACCACCAGGGGGCGGCAGAGACCCGCAUAUUGCAACCAAUCAAACAGCGGUGCUGCUACGAUGCUGCGUUCAGGCGCUCAGCCUUGCGGUCGGUGUUUCUACAUUUCAAUUUUUAUCUCUCCUGACAACUUGGCGUUCUCCGAAGCGUUGUCUGAGUCAUUAAGGUGUUCGUUGGCUAACCUCAGAUCGGCCUGAAGACGGGAUCAAAGACAGUACUCAGUACUUUACUCAAUCAUUCAUUUAUAACUUCUUAUAAACGUUUUAUUGUGGGUGUUUGUUAUGUCUCACUGUUAAAUAAACAUACCACGAAC